rnacentral:misc_RNA from 1 species
CUCUUCACUGCCCUCACUGCCCGUCUGCCAACAGAAGGCACGCGCAGCUGCAUCUCAGCGCGUGCACGCAUACACCUACACAUCUGCGUGCACUCCUGUUGAUGCGUUCAUCGAGCAAUCAAGUGCACGACGCUCAGAGAGAAAAGUCAAACACGCACUUCAGAUACGUGUUGCCUCUGCUGCUGCAGUACCGCACCCCCGUACAGGCCUGACAUGCUGCGCUUGCCACCUUUUCGCCGCGCCGCCGCUGCAGCACAGGCGUCCUCUAUCUACGAUUUCAAGGUCAACGGCAGCGACCACCAGCCAUACGACCUUGGCCAGCACAAGGGCCAUCCGCUUCUCAUCUACAACGUAGCCAGCAAGUGCGGCUUCACCAAGGGUGGCUACGAGACAGCCACGACGCUAUACAACAAGUACAAGCAUCUCGGCUUCACGGUACUGGCGUUCCCGUGCAACCAGUUCGCCGGUCAGGAACCUGGAACAGAGGAGGAGGUGAAGGAGUUCGCCUGCACGCGUUUCAAGGCUGAGUUCCCCAUUAUGGAGAAGGUCUGUGUCAACGGCGAGCACGAGCACCCGCUGUACCACUACUUGAAGAGCAAGUGCAAGGGUAUCCUCGGCACGACGUUUGUGAAGUGGAACUUCACGGCGUUCCUGGUGGACAAGGACGGCCAUCCCGUGUGCCGCUUCGCGCCCGGUGCGACGGUGUCCGAAAUCGAGAAGAAGUUGCUGCCGCUACUGCAGGCUGCGGCCUCGUCAAAGAUCUGACGGACGUGCAGCACGCGCGUGCGCAGGGGAGCUUGGCAACAGGAAAUUGCUCGAGCAUCUUGCGUACGGGUGAGUGCUCGCUGUGUAUGCACAUGUGUAUGUCGGGUCUUGGUCGCUUCUUUUGUGGGACACUACUCACGCGCUGAGCUCCCACAUGUGACUCCGGUGCUAAGGACUGAUACACACCUCUUGAGGGAGAGCGAGACCUGUCGCCUUCUCCGCGCCCCUCCGCCUCUCCUCCAAUCUCCAGCUCUGCUUCCCCAUGUCUGCUGCUGCGCGUUAACUGGGAGUGGAUUAGAGUGGAGGGGCGAUAGCGGAGACAUAUCGUCGAAAAGCGCAGCACGUCUUCGCAUAUCGCCGCUUUCGUAUCAUCCUUCUUCUGUCGCCCUUCUAUCCCCACGCAGAUACGGAGAAACACGUGGGCGGGUGAGGCGUUCGAUAGGGAGAGGGGCGGUGAGGCGGCCGGGGCCGACGCUCUAGAAACCGCUUAUUUACCUAUACCACCAUUAUGAGAGAAUGCAAGGGACCGAUGCUCGAUGUCGGCUUUGUUAUUCUGCCGCACUCACUCAACAGAAGUCCCCUUCCCUCUUUUUUUUUUCGUUGCGCUUCUCGAUUGGGCCCCCGUACCCGCCCAAG